AACGUAGGGGACAAGCGUUAUCCGGAUUUACUGGGCGUAAAGCGCCCGUAGGCGGCCUGACAAGUUGGACGUGAAAGCUCCUGGCUUAACUGGGAGAGGCCGUUCAAAACUGUCAAGCUAGAGUCUGGAAGAGGAGAGCGGAAUUCCCCGGUGUAGUGGUGGAAUGCGUAGAGAUCGGGAAGAACAUCGGUGGCGAAGGCGGUCUGCUGGGCCGUUGCUGACGCUGAGGCGCGGACAGCGUGGGGAGCAAACAGG
rnacentral:rRNA from 1 species